UGACCGCUGGCGGCGUGCCUACUACAUGCACGUCGAGCGAACAGACGAGGAGCUUGCUCCUCUGACGUUAGCGGCGGACGGGUGAGUAACACGUGGAUAACCUACCUAUAAGACUGGGAUAACUUCGGGAAACCGGAGCUAAUACCGGAUAAUAUAUUGAACCGCAUGGUUUAAUAGUGAAAGACGGUUUUGCUGUCACUUAUAGAUGGAUCCGCGCCGCAUUAGCUAGUUGGUAAGGUAACGGCUUACCAAGGCAACGAUGCGUAGCCGACCUGAGAGGGUGAUCGGCCACACUGGAACUGAGACACGGUCCAGACUCCUACGGGAGGCAGCAGUAGGGAAUCUUCCGCAAUGGGCGAAAGCUUGACGGAGCAACGCCGCGUGAGUGAUGAAGGUCUUCGGAUCGUAAAACUCUGUUAUUAGGGAAGAACAAAUGUGUAAGUAACUAUGCACGUCUUGACGGUACCUAAUCAGAAAGCCACGGCUAACUACGUG
rnacentral:rRNA from 1 species